rnacentral:rRNA from 1 species
GAUGAACGCUGGCGGCGUGCCUAAUACAUGCAAGUCGAGCGAACAGAUAAGGAGCUUGCUCCUUUGAAGUUAGCGGCGGACGGGUGAGUAACACGUGGGUAACCUACCUAUAAGACUGGGAUAACUUCGGGAAACCGGAGCUAAUACCGGAUAACAUUUAGAACCGCAUGGUUCUAAAGUGAAAGAUGGUUUUGCUAUCACUUAUAGAUGGACCCGCGCCGUAUUAGCUAGUUGGUAAGGUAACGGCUUACCAAGGCGACGAUACGUAGCCGACCUGAGAGGGUGAUCGGCCACACUGGAACCGAGACACGGUCCAGACUCCUACGGGAGGCAGCAGUAGGGAAUCUUCCGCAAUGGGCGAAAGCCUGACGGAGCAACGCCGCGUGAGUGAUGAAGGGUUUCGGCUCGUAAAACUCUGUUAUUAGGGAAGAACAAAUGUGUAAGUAACUGUGCACAUCUUGACGGUACCUAAUCAGAAAGCCACGGCUAACUACGUG